rnacentral:rRNA from 1 species
CCGGCGACCGGCGCACGGGUGAGUAACACGUAUGCAACCUGGCCGUGACAGAUGGAUAACCGGGAGAAAUCCCGCCUAAUACAACAUAAUGCCGGGAGGGGACAUCCCCUGCCGGCCAAAGGGGGCGACCCCGGUCACGGAUGGGCAUGCGGCGCAUUAGGUAGUUGGUGGGGCAACGGCCCACCAAGCCGACGAUGCGUAGGGGUUCUGAGAGGAAGGUCCCCCCACAUUGGAACUGAGACACGGUCCAAACUCCUACGGGAGGCAGCAG